rnacentral:rRNA from 1 species
UACAGAGGUGCCAAGCGUUAGGCGGAGUCACUGGGCUUAAAGCGCGCGUAGGCGGAUGUUUAAGUGUCUUGUGAAAUCCCACGGCUCAACCGUGGAACUGCUGGGCAUAGUGGACAUCUCGAGGCACUCAGGGGCGAGCGGAACAAGUGGUGGAGCGGUGAAAUGCGUAGAUAUCACUUGGAACGCCAAUGGUGAAGACAGCUCGCUGGGGGUGUCCUGACGCUGAGGCGCGAAAGCCAGGGGAGCGAACGGG